rnacentral:rRNA from 1 species
UACGGAGGGGGCUAGCGUUGUUCGGAAUUACUGGGCGUAAAGCGCACGUAGGCGGCUUUGCAAGUCAGAGGUGAAAGCCCGGGGCUCAACCCCGGAAUAGCCUUUGAGACUGCAUCGCUAGAAUUGUGGAGAGGUAAGUGGAAUUCCGAGUGUAGAGGUGAAAUUCGUAGAUAUUCGGAAGAACACCAGUGGCGAAGGCGGCUAACUGGCCCAUUACUGGACGCUGAGGCUCGAAAGCGUGGGGAGCAAACAGGG